UACGAAGGGGGCUAGCGUUGCUCGGAAUCACUGGGCGUAAAGGGUGCGUAGGCGGGCCUUUAAGUCAGGGGUGAAAUCCUGGAGCUCAACUCCAGAACUGCCUUUGAUACUGAGGAUCUUGAGUUCGGGAGAGGUGAGUGGAACUGCGAGUGUAGGGGUGAAAUUCGUAGAUAUUCGCAAGAACACCAGUGGCGAAGGCGGCUCACUGGCCCGAUACUGACGCUGAGGCACGAAAGCGUGGGGAGCAAACAGG
rnacentral:rRNA from 1 species